GAUGAACGCUGGCGGCGUGCCUAAUACAUGCAAGUCGAGCGAACAGAUGAGGAGCUUGCUCCUCUGACGUUAGCGGCGGACGGGUGAGUAACACGUGGAUAACCUACCUAUAAGACUGGGAUAACUUCGGGAAACCGGAGCUAAUACCGGAUAAUAUAUUGAACCGCAUGGUUCAAUAGUGAAAGACGGUUUUGCUGUCACUUAUAGAUGGAUCCGCGCCGCAUUAGCUAGUUGGUAAGGUAAGGGCUUACCAAGGCAACGAUGCGUAGCCGACCUGAGAGGGUGAUCGGACACACUGGAAAUGAGACACGGUCCAGAAUCCUAAGGGAGGCAGCAGUAGGGAAUCUUCCGCAAUGGGCGAAAGCCUGACGGAGCAACGCCGCGGGAGUGAUGAAGGGCUUCGGAUCGUAAAACUCUGUUAUUAGGGAAGAACAAAUGUGUAAGUAACUAUGCACGUCUUGACGGUACCUAAUCAGAAAGCCACGGCUAACUACGUG
rnacentral:rRNA from 1 species